UACGUAGGGUGCGAGCGUUUGUCCGGAAUUACUGGGCGUAAAGAGCUCGUAGGUGGUUUGUCGCGUUGUCCGUGAAAACUCACAACUCAAUUGUGGGCGUGCGGGCGAUACGGGCAGACUGGAGUACGUGCAGGGGAGACUGGAAUUCCUGGAUGGUAGCGGUGGGAAUGCGCAGAUAUCAGGAGGAACACCGGUGGCGAAGGCGGGUCUCUGGGCAGUAACUGACGCUGAGGAGCGAAAGCCGUGGGGAGCGAACAGG
rnacentral:rRNA from 1 species